rnacentral:rRNA from 1 species
CCAGUAAACGGCGGCCGUAACUAUAACGGUCCUAAGGUAGCGAAAUUCCUUGUCGGGUAAGUUCCGACCUGCACGAAUGGCGUAAUGAUGGCCAGGCUGUCUCCACCCGAGACUCAGUGAAAUUGAACUCGCUGUGAAGAUGCAGUGUACCCGCGGCAAGACGGAAAGACCCCGUGAACCUUUACUAUAGCUUGACACUGAACAUUGAGCCUUGAUGUGUAGGAUAGGUGGGAGGCUUUGAAGUGUGGACGCCAGUCUGCAUGGAGCCAACCUUGAAAUACCACCCUUUAACGUUU